AUUUGUAGUUAUUGAAAUUAAGGGGUCUAAAAGAAAUGGAAAAAUAGAGGAAUCUAUUUUGUUUGGUUGGAAAUACACUAAAAUAGGGAAUAAGUUUAAAUGUUGGGGUAAGAAUUGGAAGUUAAAAAGUUUAACAGAGGUUGGGAAUAAAAGAAGCUUCUAGAAAUAGGGACAAUUGUCCAUUUCUGUUAAAAAUAAAUUUUUAUCUCCUGAUUUUUAGCUGACAAAAAAUUCCCAGAGAUUCCCUCGCACCUCUCUUAUUUUUCCUCAUUCUGUUGAGCAUAUGAUAGAAUUCACUCUCUAUAUAAGACCUCAUCCCCUCUCUCCAAUUCUCUGAACACACACACACACACACGAAAUACAGAAGAAUUCUCUAAAAGACAUAUAAAAAGCACUUACAUACAGGCUGAUUUUCCCUUCACAUUGAAAGAAAAACAGUAGGAAAUUUUACUUUACAAAUUCUUCAAAGCAUAGAAAGAGGAACAACGGUCAUUUGGCUUCAAGUUUUCACUGGUUUUUCUGGGUUUCUUCCUUUGGUUGAACUGUUGGAUUUGCGCUCCUGAUAUGAAGAUGUUACCUUCCUGAUAUUCCUGCUGAUUCAGAGACUUAUUUUCUGGUUUUCUCUUGUUUUUUUGGCAAUUAGAUAUGGUUGAGAAACAUUGGAUUCCACACUUCAUGGCUGGAAAAUUUAAUUGUCGCAUCUGCUCGUAGUUAAUAAGCAUUUCCUUUAAUAUUUUAGCCUGUUGUAUUAGUUACGGACCAAACCGUGAUUCUGUAAAUAUUAGCUAGUUGAAUCAAUAAGUUUUUCUUUGUGCUCCUGUAGACUUUAGUUAUUAAUGAUGUUUGCUAUCUUUGAAAUGU